GGCGGGAACACGAGCUAUGAAUUAAUGUGAACUGUUUUAAUAUUUUGGUUAAUUUUGUGACUAAGCGUGGAAUAUAUUACUUUAUUAAUCGUUUAACGUUUAAAGUGUGGGCAAAAAGAAACAAAAUAACUGGAUGCGGCUUUUCGGGCUCAUUCAAACAACCCACUGAAGACACUAAAUUUCAACAAUUACUGGGACAUUUAUUCAGUUUCACCCCAAUGGAUUAUGGUUUUUAAUACACGAACUUCACUACAUUUCAGUUUUCAUAUAACACAGUCCAAGUAAUUUUAUACUAAUCGAUGACUAUCUAAACUCCAUUGCUACCAGCAACGAUGGCAUCGAGCCGGUUGCCAAACUGUAAAUAGAAGACUAAGAUAUCACACUGUGUGGCGCUGUCCAUCUUGAAACGCCAAGACGGCCGGUGCAUUCGUAUCGAGCGAUGCGACUCUGCGGGGUGAAAGAAUAACAUUAUGUCAACAAAAUCAAACCUGCAAAAUUAUGAUGUUCGUAAUUACUGGUUCUGGGGCAUCUUGUGAGCUCGCACGCGCAGGGACCACCGCCCUGCCUAUUUCUUCCGUGAAGCUGGUGUACUUAGUCAAAAUGAACAAUUUACUUUACUACUGGUAUAUACUCGCGACUUCACUCGGAUUAGUGUAGAAUGUAGAGGAUGUAAAUAGUUCAGCUAAGAUUUUUUUUAAUAAAAUCGAUUGCGUAAUUAGAUGUAAAAGCUUACAAAAACAAACUGAGUUUCAUAUUAAAAUAUGUCACAAUAAAUAAAA